UACGAAGGGGGCUAGCGUUGCUCGGAAUCACUGGGCGUAAAGGGCGCGUAGGCGGCCAUUCAAGUCGGAGGUGAAAGCCCAGGGCUCAACCCUGGAAUUGCCCUCGAUACUGUUUGGCUAGAGACCGGAAGAGGUAGGUGGAACUGCGAGUGUAGAGGUGAAAUUCGUAGAUAUUCGCAAGAACACCAGUGGCGAAGGCGGCUUACUGGUCCGGUUCUGACGCUGAGGCGCGAAAGCGUGGGGAGCAAACAGGG
rnacentral:rRNA from 1 species